CAAGCGGCUGCUGAAAAGCGACCCGCUAGGCGGCUGCGCUGAGGGAGCGACAGGGCGGCGGCGGCGGGGGUGAGGUGCGAGGCGAAGCGCAGAGCGCGCAACUCUGGAGGAGCGGAUGUUAAGUCAGAGUACAACAGAAAAUGUCCACUGAACGAACUUCAUGGACAAACCUGUCCACUAUUCAGAAAAUAGCCCUGGGCCUAGGAAUUCCAGCAAGUGCAACAGUUGCCUACAUUCUGUAUCGUCGAUAUAGGGAAAGCAGAGAAGAGAGAUUGACAUUUGUUGGAGAAGAUGACAUUGAGAUAGAGAUGCGAGUCCCCCAGGAGGCUGUGAAGCUCAUCAUUGGUCGACAAGGAGCCAAUAUUAAACAGUUGCGGAAACAGACAGGCGCGCGGAUUGAUGUGGACACAGAGGAUGUAGGCGAUGAGCGAGUGCUGCUUAUCAGUGGGUUUCCUGUUCAGGGAGAGGCGGUGAGACGAUUCGUUCUAUCUGUAAGGCUUCUGGAGCCAAAAUCACUUGCGACAAAGAAUCAGAGGGAACGUUACUACUCUCACGACUUAUAAAAAUCUCAGGAACACAGAAGGAAGUGGCAGCAGCUAAGCAUCUGAUACUGGAGAAAGUUUCAGAAGAUGAAGAACUUCGGAAGAGAAUUGCCCAUUCUGCAGAAACCAGAGUCCCACGAAAGCAGCCAAUCAGUGUGAGAAGAGAGGAAGUGACAGAGCCUGGUGGAGCUGGAGAAGCAGCUUUAUGGAAAAAUACCAAUUCUAGCAUGGGACCAGCUACACCCCUGGAAGUUCCUCUCCGCAAAGGAGGUGGUGAUAUGGUUGUUGUAGGACCAAAAGAAGGUUCCUGGGAGAAACCUAAUGAUGACAGCUUUCAGAAUUCUGGUGCCCAGAGCAGUCCAGAGACGUCCAUGUUUGAAAUUCCCAGUCCUGACUUCAGUUUCCAUGCUGAUGAGUACCUAGAAGUCUACGUUUCUGCUUCUGAACACCCUAAUCACUUCUGGAUCCAAAUCAUUGGUUCCCGCAGCCUGCAGUUGGAUAAACUUGUCAGUGAGAUGACCCAGCACUAUGAGAAUAGUCUGCCUGAAGACUUGACUGUGCAUGUAGGAGACAUUGUAGCAGCACCUUUAUCUACAAAUGGUUCCUGGUAUCGAGCCCGGGUUCUUGGAACCUUGGAAAAUGGAAACUUGGACCUCUACUUUGUUGACUUUGGAGAUAAUGGAGAUUGUGCACUAAAGGAUCUCAGGGCUCUCAGGAGUGACUUUCUAAGCCUCCCAUUUCAAGCAAUAGAAUGCAGUCUGGCACGGAUUGCCCCCACAGGUGAAGAGUGGGAAGAGGAAGCUCUAGAUGAGUUUGACAGACUCACUCACUGUGCUGACUGGAAGCCCCUGGUGGCCAAGAUUUCUAGCUAUGUCCAGACUGGAAUCUCAACUUGGCCAAAGAUCUAUUUGUAUGAUACCAGUGAUGAGAAGAAACUUGAUAUUGGGCUAGAAUUAGUUCGUAAAGGGUAUGCAGUUGAACUUCCUGAAGACAUGGAAGAAAACAGAACUGUCCCAAAUAUGUUGAAGGACAUGGCCACAGAAACAGAUGAUUCUCUUGCAAGCAUACUCACUGAAACAAAAAAGAGCCCUGAAGAGAUGCCACAUACCCUGUCCUGCCUCAGCUUGUCAGAAGCUGCCUCUAUGUCUGGUGAUGAUAACCUUGAAGACGACUUAUUCUGAAAUCUGGGCUUCAGCUGCUGGAUCAGCCAUCUGCUUUGCUGUGUGAGUGGUGCUGUCAUCUAUCUGUAGCAACAGGAAAGUAACAGGGAUGACAAGACCCUCUUCCCUGUGCUCCUACGUGUGUACAUUUCUCUGUGGCAUCUUUGAUGCAGCUUAACUUGCUCUAGAGUCCAAACUUUUAAGUUUCUUGUGUCUGUGUCUUUGGCAGGAUGUGGUGCCGAGAGAGGAGUCUAUGAUAGAGAGAUCCAUGAAGUCCUUUACUUCACAUGGUGUGGCUUGCUGUGAAUCAAAUCCAUUUUUUGUUUCAUUGGAUCUACCAGAAAGUAACAGACGGAGGCAAAUGGAGACAGAUUUCUCCACUCCACUCCUCUGGUUCCUCCCCUAUCUUUCAAUGUUUGAAUGCUGUAUAAUUCCCAGCCUCUCCAUAUCAGGUUCAGUUCCCUCUGCCAGUAAUAUUUUGCAUUACUGCUGGGCUAUGUUUUUGAGGCUGAGAAACAGCCAAGGUUUGGGCAUUGGAAGUGAUGAUUCUGCAGAUUUCUGACUCGACUUAUCAGGUGACUGUAGUUAUAGGAAGUAUUUGGUGGACUCAGAAGACUGCAGUUAUCAGGAGAUAAGGCAAAAUCAGCAUAACUAUAUUUAAAAGCCUCAUAAAAGGGGAAGAGUGUACUACCUCUCACCCACAGUUGCCGAGGUUAUUGGAGAUGGGUCCUCCAGCUAUUUCUUUGUGAACUUCAGUUAAAAUACAACUAGAAGGGAGAAGUAUCUUAGGAAAUGUGUAAACGUGUUACAAAUAUGUGUCUGUAUACACACAACUAGAGAGAAAGAAUGAAUAUAUAUAGUUCUGCUUAAAUAAUUUGGGGAAUGUUUGCUAAUAAAGUUCUCAAAAAUUAUCUAAAAACACAUACUCAGUCACAACGUGGGAGUAGGCCUGUGGGUAAAGUCUCUUCUGAGUAAGCCUUGGUAGUAAUUGCCAGCACCUCACAUACGGAAGCAUCUUGAGACAAAUGUCCUUCCCAUACAAGUAUUCACACUCUUCCCGUAAAGUCACUGCAGAAGUCCACUACUCCCUCAGAACCAUAACCAGUUUUAGCUAUAUACACAAACCUACUUACACUGUAAGAGAAGGCCUGUACUAGGGUUCUAGAAGUAGGUCUUCACUAUAAACUUACUUUACUUCUAGUGUCUUUUCAUUACUGACAGUAGUGCAAGACACCACUGAGACUUGUGACAGUACUUAGAAUUAAAUACAAAAUGCAUAGUGAUUUAACGAACUUUAGGAAACAAGGCAAGGUGAACUGGGAAAUCUAAACUGAACACAUGGAUGCCUUAUAUAGGCUUCUCUAAACUCUAGUAUUAGUAGCCAUGCCUGGUGUCCCAGACCUAUACCCAGCCUUUGAGGCUAGUGAGAGAGAGUGAAAGUUAAAGGCCAUGCCUAAGCAACUUAGUAAGAUGCUAUCUCAAAAAGAGGCUAGGGGUGUAGCUGAGUGGUAUAGUGUAGCACUUGUGUCAUUUGCAGCAUGCCAAGUUAGCAGAAAGACAUCAAGGAAGGAGCAGUUUGAGCAUCUCUUUACUCUAGAGAAACCUAGACAGGCCCCUAUUAAUGUUCCAGGUUCUGACUGUAGUGAACCAUUUAAGUGUGUUCAGCCAGGCAUUGGAGUUACUACACAACAGACUCUGGAGGCCAUUUUGUCUCUAGUUUCCUCGGUGCUCUUUUCCCUCAGUUAGAGGUCAUAAGACCUGUAGUUAAUUGUGUAAAAAGCCUAUUUAAACCAAUUGUGUGGGACUGGAAAGAUGCUCAAAGGUUAAGAACACUGACUGCUCUUGUAGAAAACCCAGGUUCAAUUCUCACCACCCACAUGGUGACUCACAACCAUCUUUUAAUUCUAGUUCUAGGGGACCUAGUUCUCUCUUCUAACUUCUAACCAGGUAUGCAUAUGGUAUACAUAUAUACAUGUAGGCAAAACAUUCAUCUACAUGUCUAAAAUUUGAGAAUAAAAUUUUGAAAUAAAAUAUGGUACAUACCUAUUCUCAGCACUUGAGAGGUUUAAGUGGAAGAAUUAACUUGAGGUCUGUCACUGCUACGCAGUGUAUUUGAGGAUCGCCUGGGCUACAUGACACCCUGUUCCCCUCUCCAAAUCCCUAUUUUUUUCAUGUGCUCAUUAUUUCUUGUCAGUUUAUACCUCAUCCUAUGCUGCUUCUGCCAUUUUUCCAGCACUUGCUCUUGUCUGGUUGUCUGAAAUGCUCUCGUUACCUUAUAAUUCUUUCCCUUAAGAUGUACGUACUUCCUCUGGUUUCCUCCACAUCAAAGAGAAGGAAUUGGUAUAUGUUUCCAGUUUGAAUUGAAAUACAUAAAUGCAUUCUAGCAAGGCUUAGUCUGAUUUUUCUAGUUGACUAGUGUUUUGUUUUGUUUUGUUUUGUUUUGUUUUGUUUUUCGAGACAGGGUUUCUCUGUAUAGCCCUGCUGGCUGUCCUGGAACUCACUUUGUAGAACAGGCUGGCCUCAAACUCAGAAAUCCGCCUGCCUCUGCCUCCCAAGUGCUGGGAUUAAAGGUGUAUGGCCACCACCGCCCAGCUCUAGUUGACUAGUAAUUUAUUAUGGCAGAUGCUCAGUAAAUGGGAAUGAAAAAAUGGUUUAGGAAUAAGGAGAAGGCCAAGGGAGCCCUCCCACAUCUGACUCAUGUUCCUCUGGUUUUCUUAGUUCUUAUGUCAUACAGUGAAUUUAUCUGUGUAAGAGUUAUAUUCCUCCAACAGUCCCUCCCACCAAGAAACAGCAAACGCUUUGAUUGCACUACCCUUUAUUUCCUAGGAUGGAAGUAUCUUAAAUCACAUCCUGGGCCUCAGAGUCCCGUGUGUUGAGGUUUCCAACCCCUCACAGAGAUGGAACAUGUUUAGGGAGGCUCACUGGCCAGGGUGGCCAAGGUCCCUUUCAAGGGGAUACACCAUGAAGAUGACAUUGUCCCAGGGAGGGAGGGCAGGAUGAUCUGGUCUAACCACCUCGAAGCCCAUGUAGCUAAAGGCUCGCAGCAGGGCACCUGUAGAAGAACAGAACAAAUGAUUAGAAUAGCCACUGAAGCUCAGCCCAUAUACUCCUCAUACAUGUUUUCUCAAGAGAGUGACUAGCAAGCAGGGUAGUGCAGGCGUAGGGUGUGCUUUGGAGUGAUAGACACGGGCUCUACCCUGCAUUUAUUAUUCAUUUUAAAUUCUAGUUAACCUUUCAGAUCUCCAGUUUACUCAUUUGCAAAGUGAGAAUGAGAACCUUCCUCACAGAUUUAAGAUGUGAUUAUUCAAGGAUGUAGUACAGUUAAGCAGCAUCUGGGCUUGGGGGAUAUUGUUUUGGUUGGUUGGUUGGGGGCUUGGGUAUUGUUUUGAUUGGUUGGUUGGGGGCUUGGGGGGUAUUGUUUUGGUUGGUUGGGUUUGUUUUUGUUGUUGGCUUUGCUUUUUUCAGUUUUGGUUUUGGUUUGAGAUGAGAUCUCACUAUGAAGCCAAUCUGACCUUGAGUGCAGAAUUCUUCUGCCUUAGCUUUUCAAAUGCUGGGAUCACAGGUUUGUACCAUAAUAUCCAGCUCAUUUUGUCUUAUAUCCAGCAGAAUAUAAACUCUUUGAGAGAUGAGCAAUAACAGACUACACCUGGUUAAAUAUAUUCCUGUCCUUCUAGCCCUACUACUGUGAGAGCUUGAUACAUUUGCUUGACAUUCUUUGUCAAUCCAUCAUAUCCCUUGAAUGGAUUCUGUAAUUUCUUCCAUGCUUCUUAUUCAUCCAAUUGUAAUGGUACUGAAUAUAAUGUUGUGUGCCUUAACUUCCUUUGCAACAGAAGUGGGGACAGGGUACUGAAGUGCCAGAGGGAAGAGGGACACACCUCUGUCCUUCCGAUCGAUUUGGAAGUUCACAAACACAGAGUCCACAUUGGUUUUCUCCUCCACAUACUCCAGUGUUGCUGUCAAGCUAGAGGCCAGAGAAAAAGUUAAUACUUAACUCAAAAUCCAGACAGACAGAAGAGGAGAAAUACUGGCAAGUGUUUGCUCUCUACCUACUGAAACUGGAAAAUAAAAAGUUGCUAAAGGAGUUUGGGAGCUUUUCUCUGAAGCAAGGGAUUCCACCUGAUUGAUGUGAGUGUCACAGAAGGUUCGUGGAGGAAAGGACUGCUUAAGAGCUAGAAAGUAUUCAACUUUUUUGAAUCCUUACUUUGGUGUUCCUGAGUCUAAGUCCAGCAACUGACCCUCAACUUAAAAUUAUUCCUUGAACUGCAA